rnacentral:rRNA from 1 species
AAUCAACGCUGGCGGCGUGCCUAACACAUGCAAGUCGAACGCGAAAGCCCCGCAAGGGGUAAGUAGAGUGGCAAACGGGUGAGUAACACGUGGGUGACCUGCCUUCGAGUGGGGGAUAACGUCCCGAAAGGGACGCUAAUACCGCAUGACAUCCUGCUUUUGAAAAAGCGGAGAUCAAAGCUGGGGAUCGCAAGACCUAGCGCUUGAAGAGGGGCCCGCGCCUGAUUAGCUAGUUGGUGAGGUAACGGCUCACCAAGGCGACGAUCAGUAUCCGGCCUGAGAGGGCGGACGGACACACUGGGACUGAGACACGGCCCAGACUCCUACGGGAGGCAGCAGUGGGGAAUUGUUCGCAAUGGGCGCAAGCCUGACGACGCAACGCCGCGUGGAGGACGAAGAUCUUCGGGUCGUAAACUCCGGUCGAGCGGGACGAACGCUUCGCGGAUGAAUAAUCCGCGGAAUUGACGGUACCGCUAAAGGAAGCCCCGGCUAACUCCGUG